rnacentral:lncRNA from 1 species
AUGAUAAACUACAACACUCUCAAGAAACUUGUCAUGCAUCUAUACAGGGUGUCUCAGUUCAGCAGUGAGAACCGCAUGUCACAAGAGAACCUGGCUACAUGUUUUGCUCCAUCAUUGAUGAGGACAGACGAUAUGGAGAAUGGGGCUGGCAUGGGAG